rnacentral:rRNA from 1 species
UGGUCCUACGGGGGGCAGCAGUGAGGAAUAUUGGUCAAUGGGCUUACGCCUGAACCAGCCAAGUCGCGUGAGGGAAGACUGCCCUAUGGGUUGUAAACCUCUUUUGUCAGGGAGCAACGCCGGCUACGUGUAGCCGGACUGAGAGUACCUGAAGAAAAAGCAUCGGCUAACUACGUGCCAGCAGCCGCGGUAAUACGUAGGUGGCAAGCGUUGUCCGGAUUUACUGGGUGUAAAGGGCGUGCAGCCGGAGAGACAAGUCAGAUGUGAAAUCCACGGGCUCAACCCGUGAACUGCAUUUGAAACUG